rnacentral:rRNA from 1 species
GAUGAACGCUGGCGGCGCGUCUAAGACAUGCAAGUCGAGCGAAGCUAUACCGGGAUUUCGGUUCUGGUGUAGACUGAGCGGCGAACGGGUGAGUAACACGUAAGUAACGUACCCCGAUGCCCGGGAUAACGGUUCGAAAGGACCGCUAAUACUGGAUAAGCCUUUCGUUUCACAAGUAGUGAAAGGGAAAGCGGGGGAUCUUCGGACCUCGUGCUUCGGGAGCGGCUUGCGGCCUAUUAGCCUGUUGGUGGGGUAACGGCCUACCAAAGCUAUGAUGGGUAGCUGGUCUGAGAGGAUGAUCAGCCACACUGGGACUGAGACACGGCCCAGACUCCUACGGGAGGCAGCAGUUAAGAAUCUUGCACAAUGGGCGAAAGCCCGAUGCAGCGACGCCGCGUGAGCGAUGAAGGCCUUCGGGUUGUAAAGCUCUUUGUCUGAGGGAAGAAACAAGGAGAAGUAAUAUGUCUCCUGA